UGCGCAGGCGGUUAUAUAAGUCAGAUGUGAAAUCCCCGGGCUCAACCUGGGAACUGCAUUUGAGACUGUAUGGCUAGAGUGUGUCAGAGGGGGGUAGAAUUCCACGUGUAGCAGUGAAAUGCGUAGAUAUGUGGAGGAAUACCGAUGGCGAAGGCAGCCCCCUGGGAUAACACUGACGCUCAUGCACGAAAGCGUGGGAGCAAACAGGAUUAGAUACCCUGGUAGUCCACGCCCUAAACGAUGUCUACUAGUUGUCGGGACUUAAUUGUCUUGGUAACGCAGCUAACGCGUGAAGUAGACCGCCUGGGGAGUACGGUCGCAAGAUUAAA
rnacentral:rRNA from 1 species